UUCUAUUUCCAUAGUCCCAUAGCCAGGAUUUGCUUUGGGGAUGGAAAUUCAUGUUGACCCUGACAGUUUUACAUUAAAACAAACUCCAUAUUUAAGAGCAAAAAGUUUGGAUGAUGUGUUAAUGUAUCUUUUAUAUUCUAUAUUUUUUGUAGCCAUAGCCUUUAUACAAAAGUACUGCAGUCUAAAAAAAGUUGUAGGUAUUUAUUUUGUGUUUUAUCUUAAGACAUAAUUUUUGAGGACCUUCAAUUAAAAAUUCAGAACAUUGAGUGAGAUAAUCCAGAAAAACUGAGUCUUUCAAUUUUAUUCAUUCAGUUUGUUAUUCUCACUCAUUAAGGGGUCAGCCAAAAUGAAGAGACAAUGUUUAAUAAAGGACAGCUUUGUCUGACCUGAAGGAAAGUGUUCCAAAGCUAGAGCACCUCCUUAGAAACUGUUUUGAAAUUGAUACCUCAUCUUACAAUCAAAGUUCAUACAUAGCCCUCGAUCUUCAUUGCAUUCCCUCAUUAGUCCAUAGGGUUUCAGUCAAUUUCUAUAUGAUGAUGACUUUCACAUGUACAUCAACAGCCCAAUAGCUUAUCAAGAAAGCUUGAGUCUUCUAUUUUCUAGUGACAUCCCACUUAGAUCUGGCAUUAAGUUCAUUUUUUUCCUUCUAGCUAUUUCUUCCAAAUUUCUUGGCUAUUGUUACUAACAACACAAAUUUUUGGAUCUUCCAAUUUACAGUCUUAGGUUCAUUUCCUUAUUUUCUUUCCCUCCCAUAUGAAAACAGUUGCUAAACUUGUUACUUCUUAUAGUUGUUACUUUAUAAUGUACUUCGGGUAUGCCCCUUUUCAUUUUUAAAACUGCCAGUUUAAUUCAAGCUCUUAAAUGUCAAGGUGUUUUGUAGCCUCUUGUAUUAUAUCGCAUUACAUUGCAUUGCAUUGCAGCCUCUUGGUUUUCUCUCUAGUCCCCAUCCUCUUUUACCCCUUCCCCACUAGCCAAUACAAAAUAUAAAAUAUUUUUCAUCAAACACCCUGUAAAAAAGUGAAUAAGGUGGGUGAAUAAGGAAAACCUGAUUGACUAGGAAAAGGGAAUUUAAAUGGAAUCUCCUUUCUUUUCAAUGAUUCUAUCUGGAAGGAAAGGAGAAGAGCAGAACCUUCAGGAAUUGGCUCAUAACUUAGAUACUGAAUGGGAAAUUGUUGUCAGGAAGAGACUGAUAAUACAUGGCAAUAACCAUUGGAAAGCUAAAAGGAGACAUAAAAUUCAACUUUUGCUAGCCACUCUUUCCCUUUUUGCUCUCCAUAUACCUCAUAUGUGCAGUAUUUAUUUUGUUUGUCUUAUUCUGGUCAUAAAGUUAUCUAGGAGGCUAGGAGCGCUGACCACCAUCAGAGAUGGGAAAGUAGUCUGUUCUGAUUGUAGUGACGAAAGGAGUUCAAUUCACACCAAGGGUCUUUCUCGCAUUUAGAAACAUCCUAUUAUUUAAGGCCUUUCGCUCAUAUAAGCUCAUCACUAGUUCUUUACCUUUCUAUUUCAUUUCUCUCUACUCUCAUGUUUGUGUUCUCCGUUCCUAUCAAAGUAUCAUGUCUGGGAGAUGACCUGCCUGUUCCUGCUCUGCAGUAGUUUUGUAUAUUGCUAUAUCUCCAGUGCCUCAAAUAGUGCCUAGCACAUAGCACAGAAAGUGCAACCAUGCAGUGCUUCUAUUAAAAACUGAGUAAUUGACAACAGUUUGAGGAUUACAGUGACAACUUACUCAAAGGAAAAAAUACUAAACUUCUGCCUUCGUUUGUGGAACUGCUAUCUUUCUUGUGUAAAAAGUUGAGUAUUUUUCAACCAUCAUUUACUAAUAGUGUAGUUAAAAGGGAGCUUAAUAGCCUUGUGCCCCUAAAACAAGCAACCAGACAUGAAUCUUAGUUCUGAAUUUGACUAGUUUAUGGAAUAAAAAAACCAAGCCAAACCUCCUCUAAUACAUAUAUGUAAAGGCAAUGCUUGCAAAAAUUUGCUUUUUUCCCUCAUUUUGUGAUUUCAGUUGUCUAUUGUUAUGCAUUAAUUAACAAUUUCACCUGAAGGAGGGAAAGGGUAGAUGUGAAUACAGUUUUUAAAUAAAAGCCCCUUUCUCUAUUAACUUGUUCUAAUUGAAGCAUAAUUAUGUCAGUUUAUUUUUCGGUGACUUCAGAGUGUGUGUGUGUGUGUGUGUGUGUGUGUGUGUGUAGAGAGAGCGAGCGCCCAAGUGAGCAAUGACUGCUAGCUAGACAUGAAAAUCCAUGUCCUCACUUCUUGGCCAAACAGAUAACCUUUUUCCCCGCCCCCCUUGCAGUUAGCUGUGGGCAUACGACUAAGUCACAGCUAAUGGAAUAAGUAUGCACUACUUUGAGUCCCCUCCCCUAGAAAACUCUCCUUCCAGCAGACUGAAGUAGAGAAGACCCCCAGGGAGACUUUGGAAGUUUGGUACUGAAAGCCUAGGUACUGAAAGACCUUGGAAACGUAAAUAUUAUUGAACUACUUGUUCAUUUUAGCAAGAAACAAAUUGGAGCCAUUAUACAUUUGGGGGUUAAUCUGUUAUGGCAAUUAGCCUAUCCUAAUUAAUUCAAUAUACAAAACUUAUAUUUGCAGUGUCCCUAUGAUGCACAACUCCAGAGAGCACCAUUUACAUUGUAUGCAUGUAAAUGGAAUUUCCUGAAGCAGUUAAGAGGCUACAGGAUUGGUUCCUGGAAGUGGAACUACUGUAUCAAAGAUUUGGAUGUUUUUAAGACCCCAGAAAGGUAAUAUAAUAGAUGAGAUUAUAAAUUUCAUUGCAUUCUUAGCAACACUAGCUAUUAACACUUAUUUUCAAUCUUUGUCAAUCUGAUGGGGAGAUUCUUUCUGUAAUUUAAUUUGAUAAAGUUGCAUUUUUGCUGAUAUACUCAUAUUAAUAACUUUACUACCUCAAGGACUUAUAAUUCUUUGUCUUCUCCAUGAUGCUUAACAUAGAGCCUUGCCAACAUGUUGAAGAAUAU
ensembl:lncRNA